AAACUAACAAGGAUUCCCCUAGUAACGGCGAGUGAAGCGGGAAGAGCUCAAAUUUGUAAUCUGGCACUUUCAGUGUCCGAGUUGUAAUCUCGAGAAGUAUUUUCCGCGCCGGACUGCAUACAAGUCUGUUGGAAUACAGCGUCAUAGUGGUGAGAACCCCGUAACUGAUGCAGAUGCCCGGUGCUUUGUGAUAUACUUUCGAAGAGUCGAGUUGUUUGGGAAUGCAGCUCAAAUUGGGUGGUAAAUUCCAUCUAAAGCUAAAUAUUGGAGCAAGACCGAUAGCGAACAAGUACCGUGAGGGAAAGAUGAAAAGCACUUUGGAAAGAGAGUUAACAGUACGUGAAAUUGUUGGAAGGGAAACGCUUGAAGUCAGACUUGCUAUUCGGAGUUCAGCCGCAAGGUGUAUUCUUCGAUUUGCAGGCCAGCAUCAGUUUUCGGGGGGUGGAAAAUCGUGGUUUGAAGGUAGCAACUUCGGUUGUGUUAUAGCUUUCCACUGGAUUCAUCUUUGGGGGACUGAGGAACGCAGUACGCUUUUUGCAAGGCCCUCGGGCUUUUCGUACUUAGGAUGCUGGUGGAAUGGCUUUAAACGACCCGUCUUGAAACACG
rnacentral:rRNA from 1 species